rnacentral:rRNA from 1 species
AUUGAACGCUGGCGGAAUGCUUUACACAUGCAAGUCAAGCGGCAGCGCGGGGGCAACCCUGGCGGCGAGCGGCGAACGGGUGAGUAACAUAUCGGAACGUACCCAGUCGUGGGGGGAUAACUAUCCGAAAGGAUAGCUAAUACCGCAUACGUCCUGAGGGAGAAAGCGGGGGAUCGCAAGACCUCGCGCGAUUGGAGCGGCCGAUAUCGGAUUAGCUAGUUGGUGGGGUAAAGGCUCACCAAGGCGACGAUCCGUAGCGGGUCUGAGAGGACGACCCGCCACACUGGAACUGAGACACGGUCCAGACUCCUACGGGAGGCAGCAGUGGGGAAUUUUGGACAAUGGGCGCAAGCCUGAUCCAGCCAUGCCGCGUGAGUGAAGAAGGCC